rnacentral:lncRNA from 8 species
CCUAUCGCUACCUGUAGACUACCUAUCACUACCUGUACACUACCUAUCACUACCUGUACACUACCUGUCACUACCUGUAGACUACCUAUCACUACCUAUCUGUACCUGUACACUACCUAUCACUACCUGUACACUACCUAUCGCUACCUGUACACUACCUAUCGCUACCUGUACACUACCUAUCGCUACCUGUACACUACCUAUCGCUACCUGUACACUACCUAUCGCUACCUGCACACUACCUGUCGCUACCUGCACACUACCUGUCGCUACCUGUACACUACCUAUCGCUACCUGUACACUACCUAUCGCUACCUGUACACUACCUAUCGCUACCUGUACACUACCUAUCGCUACCUGUACACUACCUAUCACUACCUGUAUACUACCUGUACACUACCUGUCAAUACCUAUCACUACCUAUCACUACCUGUACACUACCUAUCACUACCUGUACACUACCUAUCACUACCUGUACACUACCUAUCACUACCUGUACACUACCUGUACACUACCUAUCACUACCUGUACACUACCUAUCACUACCUGUACACUACCUAUCACUACCUGUACACUACCUAUCACUACCUGUACACUACCUGUACACUACCUAUCACUACCUGUAGACUACCUAUCACUACCUAUCUGUACCUGUACACUACCUAUCACUACCUGUACACUACCUAUCACUACCUGUACACUACCUAUCACUACCUGUACACUACCUAUCGCUACCUGUACACUACCUGUCACUACCUGUACACUACCUGUACACUACCUAUCACUACCUGUACACUACCUAUCACUACCUGUACACUACCUGUACACUACCUAUCACUACCUGUACACUACCUAUCACUACCUGUACACUACCUAUCACUACCUGUACACUACCUGACUAUCACUACCUGUACACUACCUAUCGCUACCUGUACACUACCUGUCGCUACCUGCACACUACCUGUCGCUACCUGUACACUACCUGUCGCUACCUGUACACUACCUAUCGCUACCUGUACACUACCUAUCGCUACCUGUACACUACCUAUCGCUACCUGUACACUACCUAUCGCUACCUGUACACUACCUAUCGCUACCUGUAGACUACCUAUCGCUACCUGUAGACUACCUAUCGCUACCUGUAUACUACCUAUCGCUACCUGUAUACUACCUAUCGCUACCUGUACACUACCUAUCGCUACCUGUACACUACCUAUCGCUACCUGUAGACUACCUAUCGCUACCUGUAGACUACCUAUCGCUACCUGUAGACUACCUAUCGCUACCUGUACACUACCUAUCGCUACCUGUAUACUACCUAUCACUACCUAUAGACUACCUAUCGCUACCUGUACACUACCUAUCGCUACCUUUCGGCUGACCAGCGUGAGAUUAAUACCGUUUUAA